GUACUAAUGUCAUUGAUUUCUCCCUUCUGAUGAAUCAUGAUGUCAUUAAUUUGAUGUUGUGGGGAGUCAGGACUGUUACUUUGAAAAAAUUAGAGUGUUUAAAGCAAGCACGCGCUUGAAUACAUUAGCAUGGAAUAAUGAAAUAGGACGUUCGAUUCUAUUUUGUUGGUUUCUAGGAUCAACGUAAUGAUUAAUAGGGAUAGUUGGGGGCAUUAGUAUUCAAUUGUCAGAGGUGAAAUUCUUGGAUUUAUUGAAGACUAACUACUGCGAAAGCAUUUGCCAAGGAUGUUUUCAUUAAUCAAGAACGAAAGUUAGGGGAUCGAAGACGAUCAGAUACCGUCGUAGUCUUAACCAUAAACUAUGCCGACUAGGGAUCGGAUGAUGUUAAUUUUUUAAUGACUCAUUCGGCGCGUUACG
rnacentral:rRNA from 1 species